rnacentral:misc_RNA from 1 species
AAGGUUAUUAAUUUUUAUUUGGUAGAUGAGUGAUAAUAUUGUAUAUGAGUGAUACGUUGGAAAGAAAGAUGAGUGUCGUGGAAGGGUAAAGGGUUGUUAAUUGUUAUGGAUUUUGGGGUUAUUUUAGGUAGGAUUAAGGUAUUUUUUUGAGUUAGAUAGAGUUAUUGGUUAAGAGAGUGAAUUUUAGGUUAUUGUGAGAGGGUGGUGAGUAGAGAAGGGU